rnacentral:lncRNA from 1 species
ACGGGACACCUGCAUCUGCCAACAAGACUGGAAGCAGGUGAGGCACACAGAGGGGGAGGCCCGCAGCUGCGUGGGAGGAGGGGUGGUCUGAGGGACGUGGGAUGCCGGGAAUGAGGCUGGUUUGCAGGUUGGCGCAUGGACAUUUUCCCAGAAAGGGACAGAGACGGCGAAGUUUGACGGUCUGGAAAGCAGAGACCAGCAGGGCUGACUGCUUGGGAGCACCAAAUAUCCGGACAGCGCCUCUCGGGAGGUCCGAGAAGAGAACCGCGAUCUGUUUCAGCACCGGGGCUCAGGACAGUUCCCAGCGGGCUCCGUUUCGUCUCCAGAACCCUGGACAGCUCCUCCAGAGACGGGGUUUCACCAUGUUGGCCAGGCUGGUCUCAAACUCUUGACCUCUUCAUCCGUCCACCUCAGCCUCCCAAAGUGCUAGGAUUACAGGCGUGAGUCACUGCGCCUGGCCCAAGUCCGGAAUUUUCAACAGGACAUGGGUGUUACUGUGCCCAUGUGACAUUUGGGGAACCCAAGGCCCUGAGA